GUUGUCCUGUCUUAGAGAAGGGGCUGAGAGGAUUGCCUGAGGCUCUUUGAUGAGGCUGGCUGGCACAGAAGCUGUCUUCUGUCCAAGAGCGGCUCUUCAGAUCCUGUACGGGCAAGACCUCUCCCUCAUCCGUGGCUCCCGUUGGCUCUAGCUCCUGCUUUCCUUCGGUUGUGGUGUAAGCAGGUUAUCGCAGCACAGCUUGCCUGCAGGAAGACAGCUAAACCGAAGCAAAAGGCAUUUCUGCUCCUUCCCUGCCUCUGCCCCAGCCCCAAUGAACGUGGCUGAAGUUGUGCCGUGGAACAUGCAGCCCCUCUAAAACACCUCUGUUGUGCAAACAGUUGGGGUGAAACUGGUGUGAACCCGUGUGCAGCAAGUUGGAUCAAGCUGUGCAAAAGGCACGUGGUGAAAGGUGGCAUGAUACCUUGUCACAUUAAAGAUGUCUCGGCUUUCUGACACAGAGAUGUGGGU